rnacentral:rRNA from 1 species
UACGGGGGGGGCAAGCGUUGUUCGGAAUUACUGGGCGUAAAGGGCUCGUAGGCGGCCAACUAAGUCCGACGUGAAAUCCCUCAGCUUAACUGGGGAACUGCGUCUGAUACUGGAUGGCUUGAGAUUGGGAGAGGGAUGCGGAAUUCCAGGUGUAGCGGUGAAAUGCGUAGAUAUCUGGAGGAACACCGGUGGCGAAGGCGGCAUCCUGGACCAACACUGACACUGAGGAGCGAAAGCCAGGGGAGCAAACGGG